AUACGUAGGGGGCGAGCGUUGUCCGGAAUGAUUGGGCGUAAAGGGCGCGUAGGCGGCCCGGUAAGUCUGGAGUGAAAGUCCUGUUUUUAAGAUGGGAAUUGCUUUGGAUACUGUCGGGCUUGAGUGCAGGAGAGGUAAGUGGAAUUCCCAGUGUAGCGGUGAAAUGCGUAGAGAUUGGGAGGAACACCAGUGGCGAAGGCGACUUACUGGACUGUAACUGACGCUGAGGCGCGAAAGUGUGGGGAGCAAACAGGAUUAGAUACCCUGGUAGUCCACACUGUAAACGAUGAAUGCUAGGUGUAGGGGGUAUCGACCCCUUCUGUGCCGCAGUCAACACAAUAAGCAUUCCGCCUGGGGAGUACGGCCGCAAGGUUGAAGCUCAAAGGAAUUGACGGGG
rnacentral:rRNA from 1 species